rnacentral:rRNA from 1 species
CGCGCAGGCGGUCGUUCAAGUCGCGUGUGAAAGCCCCCGGCUCAACUGGGGAGGGUCACGCGAUACUGAUCGACUCGAAGGCAGGAGAGGGUAGUGGAAUUCCCGGUGUAGUGGUGAAAUGCGUAGAUAUCGGGAGGAACACCAGUGGCGAAGGCGACUACCUGGCCUGUUUCUUGACGCUGAGGCGCGAAAGCUAGGGGAGCAAACG